UAUAUUUUGUAGUAUGUUACAAAUUCAAAUCUGAACCACAUGAAUGCUCCAUUAAUGUAGAGAGAGAAAAAGAGAAAGAUUGUUAAGGAUGGUGGGGAGGUGUAGGGUAUUUUUGGAAUAAAGAAAAUAGUGGGAAAGUGUAGAAUAUUUUUGAAAUAAAUUAAAUUAAUGGGGAGGUACAGGUCCCACUUGGGGAGGUGUAGGAAGCUAGGUAGAAUAAUGAUUUUUUUGUUUAUUUGUAUAUUUAUCGAACAAAUCAAAUUUUCUAAAUCGAUAGUUCAAGUUGGUUGAAAAUUAUUCGGUGUUGAUUAGAUUUAAUUAAUUAUUUAACUAAACAAGAUAAUAAUUAAGUUUAAGAAAAUUGAAUUAUG
rnacentral:lncRNA from 1 species